UACGAAGGGGGCUAGCGUUGCUCGGAAUCACUGGGCGUAAAGGGUGCGUAGGCGGGUCUUUAAGUCAGGGGUGAAAUCCUGGAGCUCAACUCCAGAACUGCCUUUGAUACUGAGGAUCUUGAGUCCGGGAGAGGUGAGUGGAACUGCGAGUGUAGAGGUGAAAUUCGUAGAUAUUCGCAAGAACACCAGCGGCGAAGGCGGCAUCCUGGACUGGUCCUGACACUCAUGAGCGAAAGCGUGGGGAGCGAUCCGG
rnacentral:rRNA from 1 species